UCAUAGUGCUUCCACCUACAACUUUGAAACUUCAUAUGUACAUGCACCUUGAUGAGUUCUACACGCCACUCCCAUUUUUGGGUCACUAGGUCAAAGGUCAAGGUCACUGUGACCUCUAAUAUAAAACUUUAACUUUGCCUCUAACAUCAUAGUGCUUCCACCUACAACUUUGAAACUUCAUAUGUAGAUGCACCUUGAUGAGUUCUACACGCCACACC